rnacentral:rRNA from 1 species
AUGGAGCCACCAGAUGGAUCCAUACGAAUAAAUGUGCCCCAUGUUCCCAGUUCGAACACCAAAAAUACAUCCCAAGACAAUAAAUGUUUAUCAGAUGUAUACAAUGUAGUCAUUUCUUCCCCAUGUUCCAAGUUGGAACACCAAAAAUACAUGGCAAGCCAAUUGUUCAGUAUACAUACCACAUCAAUACUAAUGCUGUUGAAAAAUGAUAGGUACGAAUGGGAAAUGCAAAUAGCAAGGCGCCGGAAGAGAAAAAGGUGUCAGAUGUGCAUGUACCCCCUCUUGCUGACCUACAUUCACAAGGGAGCCAAGGUACGUUAG